AAGCUAGUACUGUAGUAGGAGACUAUAAAAUCCCAUCACAGACGACUCUCGGCGUUUUACGGUACCGUACGGUCUCUCUUGUCUCCACAGGCCACAGCACAUUCUCACGAACUGCAAGCGAUCUCUACGAUUGCCUGUUGAUUUUCGAUUCUUCAUUCCAUAACUCGAAGAAUCAACACCGUCCAAUCCAUCAUCAUCAUCUAUCAUUUCCUCCGAUCAGAUCCACAAAAUUCCUCGAUCUGAUCUACCAGCGCCCGUGAUUUCCUCAUCUAUUGCAAUCCAAUUCAGAUUUGUAUGGGAACAGAGGAGAUUGAGAAGGAAAUGAACGCGGCCAAUUGGUUUUCGCAAUUAGCUUAUGACCGGUGGGUACCAAUCCCUGUCUCCGGCGCAAGACCAUCAGCUCGCUACAAGCAUGCUGCAGCAGUUGCUGAUGAUGAUGGGAAAUUAUAUAUAGCUGGCGGGAGUCGUACGGGGCGGUAUUUGCCUGAUGUCCAUGUUUUUGAUUUUAGAGGUUUGGUGUGGUCUAGUUUAAAGUUCAAAAGUAAAGUAGAUGGUGGAAAAGGUGAAGAGAAUGAUGCACCGGAAGUUCUUCCAGCUACUUCAGAUCAUAGUAUGGUUAAGUGGGGAAACAAACUUCUUCUCCUUGGUGGGCAUUCGAAGGCGACUUCUGAUAGCAUGAUAGUGAGGUUCAUUGAUCUAGAAACACAUGCUUGUGGUGUUAUCGAGACUUCAGGAGAAGCUCCGGUGUCCCGAGGGGGACAUUCGGUUACACUGGUUGGUUCUAGACUGAUAAUUUUUGGUGGAGAGGAUAGGAACAGGAAAUUGCUGAAUAAUGUUUAUGCCCUUGACUUGGAAACAAUGACUUGGGAUGUGGUAGCGACAAAGCAGACACCUCCAGCUCCCAGAUUUGAUCACACAGCUGCAAUAAAUGGGGACCGCUAUCUUCUAAUCUUUGGUGGCUGUUCGCAUUCAAUCUUCUUCAAUGAUCUCCAUGUACUCGACUUGCAGACUAUGGAGUGGUCCCAGCCCGAAGUUCAAGGUGAUUUGGUGACUCCUAGGGCUGGUCAUUCUGGUGUGACCAUUGGUGAGAACUGGUAUAUUGUUGGUGGUGGAGAUAACAAAAAUGGUUGCCCAGAGACCCUUGUGUUAAAUAUGUCUAAGCUUGCUUGGUCAGCAUUGGCUAGUGUAAAGGAAAGAGAUCCACUUGCUAGCGAGGGAAUUAGUGUUUGCUCAGUAUUAAUUAAUGGAGAGAGGCAUUUGGUUGCCUUUGGUGGCUAUAAUGGGAAAUACAACAAUGAGGUUUUUGUUAUGAGACUUAAACCAAGAGAUGCAUUGCGUCCAAAGAUUUUUCAGUCACCAGCAGCAGCUGCAGCGGCAGCUUCUGUUACUGCUGCAUAUGCCUUGGCCAAAUCCGAAAAGUUGGAUUUCUCCAAAUUAAAUCUGAACUCUAAUGGAACUGGAAAGAAUUCUACUGAACAAGAUUUAGCAUUUGAAAUUGAUGCACUGAAAGAAGAGAAAAAGUUGCUGGAAUUGUCCCUCGCAGAAGUCAGAGCAGAAAAUUAUAGGGUUACAGAAAAGAUUGAUGAAGUUAAUGGUACUCAUGCAGAACUCUCCAAGGAACUCCAUUCUGUCCAAGGUCAACUAGUUGCUGAGAGAUCAAGAUGCUUUAAACUUGAGGCACAAAUUGCCGAGUUACAGAAGAUGAUGGAAUCAUUGCAGUCCAUAGAGAAUGAAGUACAACUACUUAGAAGACAGAAGUCUGCACUGGAUCAGGAGAUAGAGCGUAGUGCAGCUCAAAGACAAGGUUCUGGUGGUGUCUGGCGUUGGAUAGCUGGCUAAAGUGGCAUAUCACAGAACCGCUUGAAGCCAUCUCAAGAGAAUAGGAAUGAUAUUAUCUUAUGCUGCCCCUUGUGUGCAUCUGGUCAAUGUGUGCUUGCAGGCUUUGCUAUCCCUUGGCCAUUUUUAGAGUUUAUUUGGGAGGUUUAAGUUAGAAACGGGUACAGCUUGUAGUCUGUGAAGUCACGCUGUUGUUUUUAUCUGUGAAAUGGGUUGAUGACGUUAAAGGCUCUCCAGAAGCGCUCAAAAUUCUGCAAAAUCUCAUCCAACUUGCUCCCGUUUUCUUCUACAUCUGACGUUCUUAUUGAGAAUCAGAAGUCGCCAUCUUCUAUCCCUCCAGUAAUCUUCUCAUUGGGGGGUCUUUGAUCUUGCAGUAUAUUUUCCUCUAUUGUGGGAAACUAUGAGAUGAACAACAACAGGAAGCUGACUCGCACUUUGACAAUAAAAGAUGAUGGUAGCAGGAUAUGAAGACAACAGAAAGCCAAAGCUUUUUGUCUUCGGAGACUCAUUCGCAAACACUGGAAAUUUGGGCAACAGGAGGAUCGUACUAACUCUGUGACGAUUGGUGUUGCUGACGAAUAUAUUGGAUUGGUUGUUGGUCGUGGAGGAAGAAAUAUAAUGGAAAUUAUCAGAAUAGUGGAGCCAGGAUAAAAAUAUCAGACAGAGGUGGUUUCGUGUCUGGAACAAAUGAGGGGAAAAUCACAAUCACAGGAUCACAGAGGGCCAUCCAUGCAGCUGAGGACAUGAUAAUGCGGAAAGUAUCCUAUAUAUGCUUCCGAGAGGGAGACAGAUGAGCCUUUGACCAUUCUUAGCUAUUUUUGCUCCAAAUUCCUCCGUGGACCUUGCAAUUGCCUAAUCUAGUUGGUGUUUCUGGAAUUUGGUAUGCAAAAACUGUGAUGGAAGGAGAAAGAAGAAAAUUCUUCGUUAUAGAGUGGUUUCUACAGGAAACUCUUCACACGGUACAACUUCUGUUUCUGGAAACAGUUGUUGGAUUGGUCUGUGUUGGCUUGUCAUAAUAUUAGAUGUUGCCAUGUUUAUCUUCUUGUUACGGUUACUGACUUUUAAACCAAUACAUGUUUUACGUCCGAGCUAUCCUUUCAAAGGAUAAUUUGCCAUGGUUAAAAUUAAAUGGAAUUUGCCGAAAUAUUUCCUUCUCAA